rnacentral:rRNA from 1 species
AGCGAACGCUGGCGGCAGGCCUAACACAUGCAAGUCGAACGAAGUCUUCGGACUUAGUGGCGGACGGGUGAGUAACACGUGGGAACGUACCUUUUGGUUCGGAACAACUCAGGGAAACUUGAGCUAAUACCGGAUGAGCACUUAGGGGGAAAGAUUUAUCGCCGAAAGAGCGGCCCGCGUUAGAUUAGCUAGUUGGUGAGGUAAAGGCUCACCAAGGCUACGAUCUAUAGCUGGUCUGAGAGGAUGAUCAGCCACACUGGGACUGAGACACGGCCCAGACUCCGACGGGAGGCAGCAGUGGGGAAUAUUGCGCAAUGGGCGAAAGCCUGACGCAGCCAUGCCGCGUGAAUGAUGAAGGUCUUAGGAUUGUAAAAUUCUUUUACCAGGGACGAUAAUGACGGUACCUGGAGAAAAAGCCCCGGCUAACUUCGUGCCAGCCGCCGCAGUAACAC